rnacentral:lncRNA from 1 species
UCGAUUUGUACACUGUAAUUAAUUUUGUGGUCAUGUUUCCUUAAAGCAAUUUUUUUUCGUAGGUGUUAAUGUUAACUUCGUAGUUAGAAUAUUUCCUACACAGUUUUAAGAUUUUAGAAAAGUACAUGUUCAAAUACUAAUUUUGUUUUUGCUUCACUGAAAAAUGUAUUACUCUUACUAUUCGUUGUUGCUGCAGUCAAACAUGAUUCUCUAUUUCUUAUGUCAUGGUCUAACCUUGAACAAACCUAAAAUUACAUGAUUUCAUGCCACGUUUAAUGUUUGAGGUCUAAUUUUCAAAUAUAUGUUGUUGAUAGAGCUUCUAUUGAAUAAACUUCAAGGUUAAAAAAAUUCAGAUAUCGAAGUUUGGGUUAAAUAUUUUGUGAAAUGCAUAUAUAGGUAAUUAAAAUGAUUGAGAGCUAAAAGUAAUGUUUUGGCCAAGAAGGAUUCUAUGGACUGUACAGAGGAUUUAUGUUGUCUCUCUUUCUACACUCAGUUUAGGAUGAAUCACCCUUACGAUAUGCCAUACAAGUCUAGCCACCAUUUGGUAAGACUUAAAAGGUAACCAAAGCACCAGAAACAACCUUUAAAGCCCCAUUUUGCAGAACAAUCUUCAAUAGAACCUCCAUUAUUUCUUUAAGGGAUAGUGGCAUGAUGAAUAUAUAGAAUGAAUACAUUAUACAUAAUGAUGACAUAUGUACAUGUUCAGAAAUAGUCAUUUUCUGUGUAGAUUGAAAAUUAACUCCAGAAGUUUGCCUAAAUUAACCUCCAAGACUAAAGUGAAUGUUCCCAUGCUCUGAAGUUCUCUUGAAUGUGUAUACAUUGAGGUUAGAGGUACAUAAUGUGUGUACCAAUUCAGUGGAGACAAAGUACUGAUUUAUCUUGAAUGUGUAGACAUUGAGCCUAAAUUGUUUUGAAUCAGUGAUAUUCAUUGGUAAUUGAGACAAAGUACUGAUUUGUCUUUAAAUUCAGUGAAGACUGGCGAGGUAUCACAUUUUUGGCAUUCACACGGUUUCAUUACUUCACACUGUCCUACUAAUAUUAUAGAGUUUAUUAGUUUAUUUUGUUUUCAUGCUAUUAUUACUAAAUGGUUUUAUUUCUUGAUUAUCUGGUGUAUGAAGGGGAAUUAGUCCUUAUAAAUGUGAGGCUUCCUGUAAUCAAUUAGCAUAAAGAGGUCGAUCACAAGAUGGUUAACCAUUACAAAAUUUUGCAUUUUCUUACUUAACCCA